rnacentral:rRNA from 1 species
CAAUAGCGUAUAUUAAAGUUGUUGCGGUAAAAAAGCUCGUAGUUGGAUUUCUACCGAAGAUAGCCGGUCGGGUCUUCGACCUUGUAUCUGGUUUUGUCUUUGGUAUCCUCAUAGGGAACGUUUCUGCGCUUUAUUGCGUGGUGCGGUAUCUAUGACUUUUACUUUGAGGAAAUUAGAGUGUUCACGGCAGGCAAACGCCUUGAAUAUAUUAGCAUGGAAUAAUAACAUAGGAUCAUCGUCCUAUUUUGUUGGUUUCUAGGGCUAAGAUAAUGAUUAAUAGGGAUAAUUGGGGGCAUCUGUAUCAACGCGUCAGAGGUGGAAUUCUUGGAUUGCGUUGCGACAAACUACUGCGAAAGCAUUUGCCAAGGAUGUUUUCAUUGA